rnacentral:rRNA from 1 species
GACGAACGCUGGCGGCGUGCCUAAUACAUGCAAGUCGAGCGGAUCUUGUCCUUCGGGAUAAGGUUAGCGGCGGACGGGUGAGUAACACGUAGGCAACCUGCCCUCGAGACUGGGAUAACCUCCGGAAACGGAUGCUAAUACCAGAUACGCGAUCUUCCCUCCUGGGGAGAUCGGGAAAGACGGAGCAAUCUGUUACUCGGGGAUGGGCCUGCGGCGCAUUAGCUAGUUGGUGAGGUAACGGCUCACCAAGGCGACGAUGCGUAGCCGACCUGAGAGGGUGAUCGGCCACACUGGGACUGAGACACGGCCCAGACUCCUACGGGAGGCAGCAGUAGGGAAUCUUCCGCAAUGGACGAAAGUCUGACGGAGCAACGCCGCGUGAGUGAGGAAGGCCUUCGGGUCGUAAAGCUCUGUUGCCAGGGAAGAACGCUUGGGAGAGUAACUGCUCCCAAGGUGACGGACCUGAGAAGAAAGCCCCG